rnacentral:rRNA from 1 species
UACGUAGGGCGCAAGCGUUGUCCGGAAUUAUUGGGCGUAAAGAGCUCGUAGGCGGCUUGUCACGUCGGGUGUGAAAGCCCGGGGCUUAACCCCGGGUCUGCAUUCGAUACGGGCAGGCUAGAGUGUGGUAGGGGAGAUCGGAAUUCCUAGUGUAGCGGUGAAAUGCGUAGAUAUCGAGAGGAACACCUGCGGCGAAGGCGGGUAGCUGGGCCGACACUGACGCUGAUGCGCGAAAGCCAGGGGAGCGAACGGG